AACUGCGAAUGGCUCAUUAAAUCAGUUAUCGUUUAUUUGAUAGUACCUUACUACUUGGAUAACCGUGGUAAUUCUAGAGCUAAUACAUGCUGAAAACCCCGACUUACGAAGGGGUGUAUUUAUUAGAUAAAAAACCAACGCCCUUCGGGGCUUCUUGGUGAUUCAUGAUAACUUUACGGAUCGCAUGGCCUUGCGCCGGCGACGGUUCAUUCAAAUUUCUGCCCUAUCAACUUUCGAUGGUAAGGUAUUGGCUUACCAUGGUUUCAACGGGUAACGGGGAAUUAGGGUUCGAUUCCGGAGAGGGAGCCUGAGAAACGGCUACCACAUCCAAGGAAGGCAGCAGGCGCGCAAAUUACCCAAUCCCGACACGGGGAGGUAGUGACAAUAAAUACUGAUACAGGGCUCUUUUGGGUCUUGUAAUUGGAAUGAGUACAAUUUAAACCUCUUAACGAGGAACAAUUGGAGGGCAAGUCUGGUGCCAGCAGCCGCGGUAAUUCCAGCUCCAAUAGCGUAUAUUAAAGUUGUUGCAGUUAAAAAGCUCGUAGUUGAAACUUGGGCCUGGCUGGCAGGUCCGCCUCACCGCGUGUACUUGUCCGGCCGGGUCUUCCUUCUGGAGAACCUCAUGCCCUUCACUGGGCGUGUUGGGGACCAGGACUUUUACU
rnacentral:rRNA from 1 species